UACGUAGGGGGCAAGCGUUGUCCGGAAUCAUUGGGCGUAAAGAGCGUGUAGGCGGCCCGAUAAGUCCGCUGUGAAAGUCCAGGGCUCAACCCUGGGAUGCCGGUGGAUACUGUCGGGCUCGAGUCCGGAAAGAGGAGUGUGGAUUCCUGGUGUAGCGGUGAAAUGCGCAGAUAUCAGGAGAACACCAAUGGCGAGGCAGCAGCUCUGGGACGUGACUGACGCUGAGACGCGGAAAGCGUGGGGAGCAAACAGG
rnacentral:rRNA from 1 species